CUCUAGCUCUCUAAUCUCUCACUUGUGUAGGACGUGAUGCCAAAUCUGCUUGAUAAUCGCACGUAUGAGGAAUUAGUCUUUAGAAAUGAUGCACUUAGUAGUUGCCAAACGUAGAACCGAACUGCAGAUCCUCUUGCCGUGACGCGGAUUUACUUUGCAGGCCUAAAUUUAAGACCCGCUCUGAAUCAGACGCACGUAUAAUGUGAGGAGUACAGAUGUCAUCAGGCCCACUAGCUCUGUGACUGUGAAGCCCGUAGAGCUCCCGCUUUACCUGGACGAUGGUGAAGGUAGGGCUGGGUGAUGAGGGAGUAUGCAGGGAGCUAAGAAUUCCUGAUUGUGGGGGAAGAGAUGAAGGGAGGAUGGCAGAAUUGGUCCUGGUCAAGUGUUAUUUUAAUGUUGUUUUGAAGGGAGCUAUUGGCAGGAACGAGGCUGUCCUCUGGGGUCAGAAGUCUGCUGAGAGCAGAGAGGGUGACAGGGGUGUUGAUGGGUCAUAGAGCAGGGACUCCAACAGAGGUGUGAAUGGGGGCAGGUUGGGUGGAGACCUAGUCUCACCGUCUGAGCACACAGUGGUGGGGGUUGUGUCAAACCUGUUGAAACAUUAGAUUAAGUUCAGAUGCAAAUGCCUGAUCUCCUUGUACUCUACAGACUGUCAAGCUUUUCAUCCCAUUCAACACAUCUGCUGUGUUGUUCGGACCCGUUUUCUAUGCUUUUUUUCACGUUGACGUAAAAAAUGGUCCAAAAGGUUAUGCCCUCUCGUUGCACGGUUAACAUACUGUUUAAAGUUGGUGAGGACAGGAGAAAAGGAGACAUGACUGAAAUAAACACAGAUCAAUAAGAGGGCGUUGGAAUGUUUUCUCUGAAGUCCCGCGAUGACCGAGUGAAAGAUGUCGCUAGCGCUCUUCGACACAGCCCACGGAGGGACGUAAACAACUACAGCAGUGGAGUAGGAGAACUCCCACGCUAGAUGAAAUUCUUCAACUCCUGACUUCCUGACUACAUGUCCGCUGGAUCCAAUUCCUUGCGCUCUGUUCUAGACAAUCGCAAAAGAUCUGCUUCCUUUCGUCUCUGUCAUCGUCAACAACUGCUUAUCUUCUGGAUACGUGCCUACUGCAUUCAAAACCGCCAGGGUCUCCAGACGUAUCUCAGCACGCUUGACUGACAUCGCG